rnacentral:rRNA from 1 species
UACGAAGGGGGCUAGCGUUGCUCGGAAUCACUGGGCGUAAAGGGCGCGUAGGCGGCCGAUCAAGUCAGAGGUGAAAGCCCAAGGCUCAACCUUGGAAUUGCCUUUGAUACUGUUUGGCUAGAGACCGGAAGAGGUUAGUGGAACUGCGAGUGUAGAGGUGAAAUUCGUAGAUAUUCGCAAGAACACCAGUGGCGAAGGCGGCUAACUGGUCCGGUUCUGACGCUGAGGCGCGAAAGCGUGGGGAGCAAACAGG